UACGUAGGGGGCGAGCGUUGUCCGGAAUCAUUGGGCGUAAAGCGCACGUAGGCGGAUUGCUAAGUCAGGGGUGAAAUCCUGGAGCUCAACUCCAGAACUGCCUUUGAUACUGGCGACCUUGAGUCCGGGAGAGGUGAGUGGAACUGCGAGUGUAGAGGUGAAAUUCGUAGAUAUUCGCAAGAACACCAGUGGCGAAGGCGGCUCACUGGCCCGGUACUGACGCUGAGGUGCGAAAGCGUGGGGAGCAAACAGG
rnacentral:rRNA from 1 species